GCGGCUCAAUUCCACUCACAUUCUUCGUUGCUUCCCUCCUUUACUCUUACAACCUUUUUCUUCGAUUUACUUCGCAUUUUGUUGUAAAUUCAUCACUUCUCUGAUUUGAUUUUCCAUUUUCAGUAGCUGAAUGAGUUUCUGGUGACUGUUUUGGCGGACAGUUGUAGUUUGUAGCACGAAUCUGUAUAUGCGUGCAAGGAUUUUCAGGAGCCUUGGUAUUGGAUUGUGGUUGGUGAUUUGAUGGCGGAGGGUCGGCGCUACGCGCUCAAUACUCAAUUAGAUAUCAAGCAGAUACUUUUGGAAGCACAAUAUCGCUGGUUGCGCCCUGCUGAGAUUUGUGAAAUUCUUCAAAAUUACAAAAAAUUUCGCAUUGCUCCAGAACCUCCUACAAGACCUCCAAGUGGUUCUCUCUUUCUUUUUGAUCGAAAGGUUCUGCGGUACUUUCGAAAAGACGGCCAUAACUGGAGAAAGAAAAGAGAUGGGAAGACAGUCAAGGAGGCUCAUGAAAGGCUCAAGGCUGGAAGUGUUGAUGUACUGCAUUGCUACUAUGCCCAUGGAGAAGAGAAUGAAAAAUUUCAAAGACGUAGCUAUUGGAUGCUUGAAGAGGAGCUAUCUCACAUAGUUCUUGUUCAUUACCGGGAGGUCAAGGGAAACAGGACAAAUUUCAGUCGCCUGAAGGAUGCUGAUGGUAUUCCUCAUUGUCAGCAAACUAAAGAUGAUGUAUCUUACUCUGAGAUGGGAAGAUCAGGAGCCUCUCAAUUUCCAUCUUAUGAUUAUCAAGGAGAACAAGUUGCAGAUACAGCUAGUCUUAACAGUUUUCAGGCUUCAGAACAUGAAGAUGCUGAAUCAGCUUACAAGCAUCAAUCAAGUCCUGGAUUCCAUUCUGUUCAAGAGUUACAGUCUCCUACAUCACUAACAACAGAAGCUGCUACUGUUCCCUAUUACACAGUUUCUACAUCAAGUACCUAUGGAGGACAAAUUUCAACUCUUCCUAGCAUGAGUUUUGGAACAAACACAAGAGAGAAAAAUAAGAAUCUUAUAGAUCAUGGUCUCUAUCAGUUUCAACAAGACCAUGCAUUCCAAUCUAGAGAAAAUUCUGUUGAAAGUACUACUGGUUAUCAAUCUGUCAAUUUUCAGCCAUCAUUAUACUCACCUGCCCAACCAAGUUCAUUGAGCAUGAUGUCUGGUCGAGAAAAUCAACUCCUGGAUCAAGUUGUUUACCAGCAGCAGGCCUCUGUUCAUGAUUCUCAGCAUGCAUCAAAUUGGUCCAUGGGUCAGAAAUCAGCUGAAAGAGUGAAUUUAGGGCAGGACCAUUAUUAUCCAUUGUGGAGGGAUCCCAUGUCAGAUCAAACUACCAAACCAAAUAGUGUAGAUCAGGGAGAACUAUCCAACGCAGUUGGCCUUCAUAAUACAUAUUUAACUGAGCAAGGCAGAGAGCUUUUGCAAGAUGAUCUUCAACUCCAAUCCUCAAAGGUUGUUAGUAGUUCUCAUGACUCAUAUUCUGAUGGCAAACUUAGUUUAGAGGAUAAAACUGAUAAUACACCCUUGAAACAACCUUUACUGGAUGGAUUUAUGCGAGAAGGCCUCAAAAAGCUUGACAGCUUUGACCGCUGGAUAAGCAAAGAACUAGAUGAUGUCACUGAUGCUACUAUACAGCCAAGACCUUCUGUGUACUGGGAAACUGUUGGAAGUGAAGAUGCAGAUGAAUCAGAUAUCUCCACUCAUGUGCCCUUAGACAACUACAUUCUUAGCCCCUCUAUUUCUCAAGACCAGCUAUUUAGCGUUGUGGAUUUCUCGCCAAAUUGGGCAUAUUCUGGGACUGAAAUUAAGGUGCAUGUUAUCGGAGGAUUCUUGAGGAGUCCAGAGGAGGUGCUGAAGUGUAAAUGGGCUUGCAUGUUUGGUGAACUGGAAGUUCCUGCUGAGGUUGUAGCAGAUGGUAUUCUUCAGUGUUUUACACCUUCACAUGACAAUGGGAGAGUUCCAUUUUAUGUGACAUGUUCAAAUAGGUUAGCAUGCAGUGAAGUACGAGAAUUUGAAUUCCGCCCUAUUCCAGAUGUCGACAUUUCAGAUGCAGGCAGCAUUACUUCUGAUGAAACACUGCAUAUGAGAUUCGGGAAGUUGUUGUCUCUGGAACCAAGCACCUCUCAAACCUCCAUCCAGAGUAGUUCUGCCGAAAGCUCACAGCUAUGCAGGAAAAUCAGUGCAAUGCUUAAAGACGACUUGGAGUGGGAACAAAUGGUGAACCUUACUAAACAGGAUGAAUUCUCACCUGAUAAGUGUAUGGAUCAACUCCUACAAAAGCUUUUAAAAGAGAAGUUGCUUGUUUGGCUUCUCCAAAAGAUAGCUGAGGGUGGUAAAGGCCCAAGUAUACUAGAUGAGCAAGGCCAAGGUGUUUUGCAUUUUGCUGCUGCUCUAGGUUAUGACUGGGCCAUAGCACCCACAAUAGCUGCAGGUGUCAAUAUCAAUUUCCGCGAUGCAAAUGGAUGGACCGCACUUCACUGGGCAGCACAUAAUGGCAGAGAGCGAACCGUGGGCCUUCUCAUCUCCCUUGGUGCAGCACCUGGAUUGGUGACAGAUCCCACCCCCAAAUACCCAUCUGGAAGACCUCCUGCUGACUUGGCGUCCAGCAAUGGGCACAAAGGCAUUGCUGGUUACCUUGCAGAAUCUUCCCUGAGCUCCCACCUAUCCUCAAUCACGUUGAAAGACUCCAAGGGGAGUGAUAGAGGAAAAGAUUGGGUGCCAAUCUCUGAGACUUCAGUGAGCUACGGUGAUUUGCCCUUGAAGGACUCAUUAGCUGCAGUAAGGAAUGCUACUCAAGCUGCAAGUCGCAUUCAUGAAGUGUACCGGGCACAAUCCUUCCAGAGAAGGCAGAUAAAAGAAUAUAAUGACCGUGAAUUUGGAGUCUCGGACGAUCGUGCUCUUUCCCUUCUGGCUCUAAGGAGCAAGAGGAUAGGACAACAGGAUGAACCAGGACAUGCAGCAGCUGCAGUACGGAUUCAAAACAAGUUCCGAAGCUGGAAAGGCAGAAAGGAUUUCCUGUUAAUCCGUCAGCAAAUAAUAAAAAUUCAGGCCCAUGUGAGAGGACAUCAGGUGAGAAAGAACUAUAGAAAGAUAAUAUGGUCCGUUGGAAUUUUAGACAAGGUCAUUUUGCGGUGGCGACGGAAAGGUAGAGGACUGAAAGGAUUCAGACCCGAAGAACAUAGUGCAAGCUCCAGCAUGCGUACAGAAACACAGGAGGAUGACUAUGACUACCUAAAAGAAGGCAGGAAACAGACAGAGAAGAGACUGGAAAAGGCCCUUGCUAGAGUAAAAUCAAUGGUUCAGUACCCUGAAGCACGAGAUCAGUACCGCAGGGUGUUGAAUGCUGUCUCCGAAAUGCAGCAGAAAAAGGCUGCCUAUGACAAGAUUUUAUGCAAUCCAGAAGGGGAUUUUGACGAUGAUCUAAUUGACCUCGACGCCUUACUGGAGGAUGACACUUUCAUGGCAAUCGUAUAGUGGGACAAUACUCGGAAUAAAGAAUUGGAAAAGAAUAAGAAGAAAAGGAAGACGACGGACAGAAGCGAGCAUGGACGAAGGAAGGAAGAAGAGAAAGAGAAAAAAAACAGAAGAGAAUGAGAAGAAGAGAAAGAAAAAGAAGAGGAAGGAGCGGGCUCAAGGAGAUGAGCCACACAAGAUACCAGUUCUUUUUCUCACUUCCACCGCUUACAUCCAACUUCCCCCUCCAAAGCCUAUGCCGGCUACCAUUCACUUCCACCGUGCACAUCAAGCGCCGUCAAUUUGUCGCUCACUUCCAUCGCCGACAUCCGACUUCCCCUUCCAAAGCUUUGUCACUCCGCCGCUCACUUCAGCCGCCCGCAUCCGACUUCUCUCUCCAAAGCGUCUUCAAGCAGCUAUUCACUUCCACCGCUAACAUUCGACUUCCUCCUAAAAAGCGUCUUCAAUAUGUCGGUCACUUCCGCCAUCCGAAAUACACUGCUAUUUUCUUACUUCCAUAGCCUACAUCUGACUUCCGCAGUCUCUUUAUUGUCUACAAAAGUUAAAUUCUAUAAAUAUUUUAUUUUUUAUGCUUUUAUUUUUGCUUU